GACGUAGGGCGCGAGCGUUGUCCGGAUUUAUUGGGCGUAAAGAGCUCGUAGGCGACUCGUUGCGUCGGCUGUGAAAACCCGCAGCUCAACUGUGGGCUUGCAGCUGAUACGGGCGGGCUGGGAUUCGGUAGGGGAGACUGGAAUUCCUGGUGUAGCAGUGAAAUGCGUAGAUAUCAAGUGGAACACCAGUGGCGAAGGCGAGUCCCUGGACACUUCCUGACACUGAGGCACGAAAGCUAGGGGAGCAAACAGG
rnacentral:rRNA from 1 species